GCGCCGGUGGUGUAAGGCGGAGCAUCGCUGCCCGGUAAGCAUAAGGUGCGGGUUCGAGUCUCGCCCGGCGCA
rnacentral:tRNA from 1 species